CCCAAAAUUUUCUCAUUUUUCUUCCUCAUCUAGGUGCAAAGUGAAUCCAUCUUCCUCAGAAAUCUGUAAAAGCCUUCUCCAAUUGGGAACUCUUUUUCUAUCUCCUUGCGGAUACAGACCAUUUCACUAUACAUUCUACUAAUUUUGAAUAUUAGGAGGUCCUGAUAAGGAAAACAGAAUUGACAAGCUACCACCAGCCGGAAGAGAGGCCAAAGUGAGGGAGGAGAUGCCAGCCCAUAAUAUGUCCUGCCAACCUCCCAGAAAUCCUCACGCUGGAAACCAUCUUGACUGAGAGAUGUAUGUGCUGCCAGGAAGUGGACCAAAUAUGGGCACAA